AGUCAUUCUGGUUCCCCCUCUUUUCAUUGACUUCCAAUCCACGUUCAGUUCAUUUGGCUGCUUGAAAACUCUUUGUCUCUCAACUUUUUCCAGAAACAGGUAUCCACUAGCUACUACUUCCCCAAGAAAAGAAAUCAUUGUUCAAUUAUUUUUUUAAAAAAUCUCACAGGACACGUAAUGUCUGCAUUGUCAAGCUCUGUUGGAAUGGCUUCCUUGAUUAACUUAAGAGUGAACAAACACUGGACAUUCAUUGAGAACACCACACAUCCUCGGCUUAUAGAGAAUGGACACUGCAGCACUCUUCCCAGACCUGGAAUACUCAUGUAUUUCUAAAUGCCUGAAGGGAAUGUCUUCUGAAUCUUCUUGGAGAACCUGGUUAGAGAUGAAGAAACCAGAAUAUGAGUUGGCAUCUUCAAGCUCUCAAGUUGAACUUGAUUCGGCAUUUCAAGUCCUCAAUGCUCUUAAAUAUACUCCAAUUUUUCUGCUACAAAUUAAGGUGAUAAUAGACACUGAACUUUUAUAUGGCACAGAUCCCCCAAGUAAUAGGAGCUGAAGACACAAGGAUCUACACAUUUCUAAAGCCCCCAAUUCACUGCAAAUUCACAACAAAUCUUACCAAGGCAUAUCUAAUAACAGAGCUACAGUUCCUGAACCACUGUUCACAAACAAUACAAAAGAUCAGUUGCAAGGAAAUAUUCUAUUUUAAUGGAGGCUGAUUCUUACAUCCAAUCAUAGCUCUUCAGGUAUUUGGUUUACUGGAGUAUGGCACUGAUAGAAUGACAAAAUAUUAAAGAGUUAGGUAAAUAAUGUCAAAGUGCUCCUGCCCAGUCUGGGGCCUCAACUUUUUCUGUGAAAUUGUUGAAUUUUUGAUAUUUUUUUGAUAUCUGAAUCUCUUUUUGGACCAUCCCAAAUUUAGCAGUAAUUUCAAGGUGGCUUCCUGGCAUGUGUUCUAGAUUGGUCUCCACAUUAAACUGAUAAAUCAAGAGAUUUAUUUCCUCAAUAGGUCAAAAUCAUUAUUACUAUCCUCUUGCCAUUCUGAGGAAAAGAACUUUAUCCUUCUAUGUGAUUUAUUCUUUUCAUGGGCAUCCAUUCAACACUGAGCUAUUGUUUCAGAACAGGGAAAAUGUAUUCCUUUUACAGGUUUAUUCCUUCAACUGGAAUUUGUUUAAGUAGUUUCCACUGCACAAACACAAAAAGCCUUAAUACAUGCAGACUGGGUCGGCCUCAUGCCAUCAGAUGUCACCGCUGACGGGUGAUGGCACUUAUAUAGAUUUACACAACAAAAACUACAUUAAAAAUGUUAAGGUAGUGAGACAAAGACACAAAGGCCUAGAAAUUCACAGCUCGGGAUUUAAACAUACUAUAUCUAAGAGGAAUGGAGUGCAUUAGGGUAAUGGGAAGGUGACAGCGUCCCUAUUAUACCUACAGUGCUAGACACUUAAUCCCUAACUGAAUUUCCUGGUGUUGUUUGCUUUGUCUCAUUCUUGGGGGCUUAUGUUUUUUAAUGACAUUAUUGUUGUGUAAAUGUUCUUGUUUUAUAAAGUAAUUUCAGGUUGAUUAUCAUCUGUUUUGCAAUUAUUAUAAUUAUACCUAAUUACAUGGUAGAAACAACAUAUAUAAUUAGUUUAUU
ensembl:lincRNA